AUUGAACGCUGGCGGCAGGCCUAACACAUGCAAGUCGAACGCGUGGCGGACGGGUGAGUAAUGUCUGGGAAACUGCCUGCUGGAGGGGGAUAACUACUGGAAACGGUCGCUAAUACCGCAUACCAUCAGAUGUGCCCAGAUGGUCUUAGCUUGUUGGUGGGGUAACGGCUCAACAAGGCGACGAGCCCUAGCUGGUCUGAGAGGAUGACCAGCCACAUGGGAAAGGAGACACGGUCCAGACUCCGACGGGAGGCAGCAGUGGGGAAUAUUGCACAAGGGGCGCAAGCCUGAUGCAGCCAUGCCGCGUGUAUGAAGAAGGCCUUCGGGUUGUAAAGUACUUUCAGCGGGGAGGCGUUACCCGCAGAAGAAGCACCGGCUAACUCCGUGCCAGCAGCCGCGGUAAUUC
rnacentral:rRNA from 1 species